rnacentral:rRNA from 1 species
GACAGAGGUGCCGAGCGUUAGUCGGAAUCACUGGGCUUAAAGCGUGUGUAGGCGGACUUCUAAGUGCCUUGUGAAAUCCCAUGGCUUAACCAUGGAACUGCUCGGCAUACUGGGAGUCUUGAGCCACCUAGGGGCGAGCGGAACAAAUGGUGGAGCGGUGAAAUGCGUAGAGAUCAGUUGGAACGCCAACGGUGAAAACAGCUCGCUGGGGGUGCGCUGACGCUGAGACACGAAAGCCAGGGGAGCGAACGGG